rnacentral:rRNA from 1 species
UGCAAGUCGAACGGCAGCGGGGACUUCGGUCCGCCGGCGAGUGGCGAACGGGUGAGUAAUAUAUCGGAACGUACCUUUCAGUGGGGGAUAACGUAGCGAAAGUUACGCUAAUACCGCAUAUUCUGUGAGCAGGAAAGCAGGGGAUCUUCGGACCUUGCGCUGAUUGAGCGGCCGAUAUCAGAUUAGCUAGUUGGUGAGGUAAAGGCUCACCAAGGCGACGAUCUGUAGCGGGUCUGAGAGGAUGAUCCGCCACACUGGAACUGAGACACGGUCCAGACUCCUACGGGAGGCAGCAGUGGGGAAUUUUGGACAAUGGGGGCAACCCUGAUCCAGCCAUGCCGCGUGAGUGAAGAAGGCCUUCGGGUUGUAAAGCUCUUUCGGCCGGGAAGAAAUCGCACAGGUUAAUACCCUGUGUGGAUGACGGUACCGGAAUAAGAAGCACCGGCUAACUACGUGCCAGCAGCCGCGGUAAUACGUAGGGUGCGAGCGUUAAUCGGAAUUACUGGGCGUAAAGCGUGCGCAGGCGGUUUUGUAAGACAGGCGUGAAAUCCCCGGGCUCAACCUGGGAACUGCGUUUGUGACUGCAAGGCUAGAGUAUGGCAGAGGGGGGUGGAAUUCCACGUGUAGCAGUGAAAUGCGUAGAGAUGUGGAGGAACACCGAUGGCGAAGGCAGCCCCCUGGGCCAAUACUGACGCUCAUGCACGAAAGCGUGGGUAGCAAACAGGAUUAGAUACCCUGGUAGUCCACGCCCUAAACGAUGUCAACUAGGUGUUGGGUGGGUAAAACCAUUUAGUACCGGAGCUAACGCGUGAAGUUGACCGCCUGGGGAGUACGGCCGCAAGGUUAAAACUCAAAGGAAUUGACGGGGACCCGCACAAGCGGUGGAUGAUGUGGAUUAAUUCGAUGCAACGCGAAAAACCUUACCUACCCUUGACAUGUCCAGAAGCCCUUAGAGAUUUGGGUGUGCCCGAAAGGGAGCUGGAACACAGGUGCUGCAUGGCUGUCGUCAGCUCGUGUCGUGAGAUGUUGGGUUAAGUCCCGCAACGAGCGCAACCCUUGUCGUUAAUUGCCAUCAUUUAGUUGGGCACUUUAACGAGACUGCCGGUGACAAACCGGAGGAAGGUGGGGAUGACGUCAAGUCCUCAUGGCCCUUAUGGGUAGGGCUUCACACGUCAUACAAUGGUCGGUACAGAGGGUUGCCAAGCCGCGAGGUGGAGCCAAUCCCAGAAAGCCGAUCGUAGUCCGGAUCGUAGGCUGCAACUCGCCUGCGUGAAGUCGGAAUCGCUAGUAAUCGCGGAUCAGCAUGUCGCGGUGAAUACGUUCCCGGGUCUUGUACACACCGCCCGUCACACCAUGGGAGCGGGUUCCGCCAGAAGUAGGUAGCCUAACCGCAAGGGGGGCGCU